GCAGCAGUGGGGAAUUUUGGACAAUGGGCGCAAGCCUGAUCCAGCAAUGCCGCGUGAGUGAAGAAGGCCUUCGGGUUGUAAAGCUCUUUUGUCAGGGAAGAAACGGUGGAGGCUAAUAUCCUUUGCUAAUGACGGUACCUGAAGAAUAAGCACCGGCUAACUACGUGCCAGCAGCCGCGGUAAUACGUAGGGUGCAAGCGUUAAUCGGAAUUACUGGGCGUAAAGCGUGCGCAGGCGGUUAUGCAAGACAGAUGUGAAAUCCCCGGGCUCAACCUGGGAACUGCAUUUGUGA
rnacentral:rRNA from 1 species